GACGAACGCUGGCGGCGUGCCUAAUACAUGCAAGUCGAGCGGACAGAUGGGAACUUGCUCCCUGAUGUUAGCGGCGGACGGGUGAGUAACACGUGAGUAACCUGCCUGUAAGACUGGGAUAACUCCGGGAAACCGCGGCUAAUACCGGAUGGUUGUCUGAACCGCAUGGUUCAGACAUAAAAGGUGGCUUCGGCUACCACUUACAGAUGGACCCGCGGCGCAUUAGCUAGUUGGUGAGGUAACGGCUCACCAAAGCGACGAUGCGUAGCCGACCUGAGAGGGUGAUCGGCCACACUGGGACUGAGACACGGCCCAGACUCCUACGGGAGGCAGCAGUAGGGAAUCUUCCGCAAUGGUCGAAAGUCUGACGGAGCAACGCCGCGUGAGUGAUGAAGGUUUUCGGAUCGUAAAGCUCUGUUGUUAGGGAAGAACAAAUGCCGUUCAAAUAGGGCGGCACCUUGACGGUACCUAACCAGAGAGCCACGGCUAACUACGUGCCAGCAGCCGCGGUAAUACGUAGGUGGCAAGCGUUGUCCGGAAUUAUUGGGCGUAAUGGGCUCGCAGGCGGUUUCUUAAGUCUGAUGUGAAAGCCCGCGGCUCAACCGGGGAGGGUCAUUGGAAACUGGGGAACUUGAGUGCAGAAGAGGAGAGUGGAAUUCCACGUGUAGCGGUGGAAUGCGUAGAGAUGUGGAGGAACACCAGUGGCGAAGGCGACUCUCUGGUCUGUAACUGACGCUGAGGAGCGAGAGCGUGGGGAGCGAACAGGAUUAGAUACCCUGGUAGUCCACGCCGUAAGCGAUGAGUGCUAAGUGUUAGGGGGUUCCCGCCCCUUAGUGCUGCAGCUAACGCAUUAAGCACUCCGCCUGGGGAGUACGGUCGC
rnacentral:rRNA from 1 species